AAUAGAUACCCCGGUAGUCCACGCCGUAAACGAUGAGUGCUAAGUGUUAGAGGGUUUCCGCCCUUUAGUGCUGCAGCUAACGCAUUAAGCACUCCGCCUGGGGAGUACGGUCGCAAGACUGAAACUCAAAGGAAUUGACGGGGGCCCGCACAAGCGGUGGAGCAUGUGGUUUAAUUCGAAGCAACGCGAAGAACCUUACCAGGUCUUGACAUCCUCUGACAACUCUAGAGAUAGAGCGUUCCCCUUCGGGGGACAGAGUGACAGGUGGUGCAUGGUUGUCGUCAGCUCGUGUCGUGAGAUGUUGGGUUAAGUCCCGCAACGAGCGCAACCCUUGAUCUUAGUUGCCAGCAUUUAGUUGGGCACUCUAAGGUGACUGCCGGUGACAAACCGGAGGAAGGUGGGGAUGAACGUCAAAUCAUCAUGCCCCUUAUGACCUGGGCUACACACGUGCUACAAUGGAUGGUACAAAGGGCUGCAAGACCGCGAGGUCAAAGCCAAUCCCAUAAAAACCAUUCUCAGUUCGGAUUGU
rnacentral:rRNA from 1 species